ACACAUGCAGUCGAACGAAGGCCAUCUUCGGGAGUGAGUCGAGUGGCGGACGGGUGAGUAACACGUGAGCAACCUAUCCCUGUGCGGGGGACACCGGGAAACCCGGNUAAUACCGCAUGGACGAGANUCCCGGUGGAGACUUCGGGAAGAGCCUCUUACAUGCUGUCGUGCAGGCGGGUCGCGGCUAUCAUUAUGGUGAGGUAACGGUCAACCAAGGCGGACGGUAGGGGUCUGAAAAGGAUGGCCCCCCACAUUGGAACUGAGAACACGGUCCAAACUCCUACGGGAGGCAGCAGUGGGGAUAUUGGGCAUGGGCGCAAGCCUGACCCAGCGACGCCCGUGUGGGAGGACGCCUUUCGGGGUGUUAAACCACUGUCAGAGGGGACAACUGUCGGGUUGGGAAAUACUGCCUCGGCCUGACGGUACCCUCAAAAGGAAGCGCCGGCUAACUCCGUGCCACAGCCGGGUAAGAACGGAGGGCGCGAGCGUUGUUCCGGAAUCACUGGGCGUAAGCGCGCGCAGGCGGGACUGUCAAGUCGGAAGUGAAAUCCCGGGGCUCAACUCCCGGGGCUGCUCCGAAACUUGCGGACCUGGAAACCAUUAGGGGUGGGUGAAUUCCCGGUGUAUCGGUGGAAUGCGUAAUUUCUGGGAAAACACCUGUGGCAAGGCGGCCCACUGGCUGAUCUACGCUAGGCGCAAAGCGUGGGGAGCAACAGGAUUAAUACCCUGGUNUUCCACCCGUAACAUUGGCACUAGUGCCGGGGGGAGCGACCCUUCGGUGCGUAGCUAACGCGUUAAGUGCCCCGCUGGGGAGUACGCCGCAAGGCUGAAACUCAAAAGGAAUUGACGGGGGCCCGCACAAGCGGUGGAGCAUGUGGUUUAAUUCGAAGCAACGCGAAGAACCUACCUGGUUGACAUGCUGUGAAACCCCUGUGAAAGCAGGGCCUCUUCGGACACCAGCACAGUUGCUGCAUGCGUGUCAGCUCGUUUCGUGAGAUGUUGGUUAAGUCCCGCAACGAGCGCAACCCUUGCCCCGUGUUACUAACAGUUCAAGCUGAGAACUUUCGGGGGACGCGGCGUCAAGCCGGAGGAAGUUGGGACGACGUCAAGUAAUCAUGGCCCUUACGCCAAGGGCUACACACGUGCUACAAUGGCAGGACAGAGGCUGCAAGACCGUGAGUGACGAAUCCCAGAAACCCCUUUAAGUUCGGAUUGCAGGCUGCAANUGCUGCAUGAACCCGGAAUCGUUAGUAAUCGCGGAUAGUUACCCCCGGUGAAUACGUUCCCCGGNCUGUACACACCGCCCGUCACGCCAUGGAAGCCGGGAGUGCCCGAAGUCCGUGUCCUAACCGCAAGGAGGGAGCGNCCGAAGGCAAGUUCGUGACUGGGGCGAAGUCGUAACAAGNACCGUAGGAACCUGCGGCUG
rnacentral:rRNA from 1 species